UCACAUGUACUGCCGGGGUAACCAAAGCUCUGACUUCUGAGUUUUGUUACCCCGGCUCUCUGUGGG
rnacentral:pre_miRNA from 1 species